AACUUAAAGGCUUUGAUCAUUAAGUCCAUGAUGCUUCCUUCCAACAUGUUGAUAACCAUGCUAAUUGAAGGUCUAUUUUCUGGCUUUAUCUGAACUGGCAAAUGGUCAAAACAAGUUUAAUAAUAAGGAGCACACAUAUAGCUUGAUAUCUGAAUUGCUUCCCUUGCUGAAACAUAUCUAUCAGAACCAAUUAAAUGAACUGGAAGUAAAGCAAGGGGAUCAAGAAGGUGGAUUUUCUGGUGUACUUCUUCGAGUAUAUGAGCCUCACAAUGAGCUUGUUAACU